AUGAACGCUGGCGGCGUGCCUAAUACAUGCAAGUCGAGCGAACAGACGAGGAGCUUGCUCCUCUGACGUUAGCGGCGGACGGGUGAGUAACACGUGGAUAACCUACCUAUAAGACUGGGAUAACUUCGGGAAACCGGAGCUAAUACCGGAUAAUAUAUUGAACCGCAUGGUUCAAUAGUGAAAGACGGUUUUGCUGUCACUUAUAGAUGGAUCCGCGCCGCAUUAGCGAGUUGGUAAGGUAACGGCUUACCAAGGCAACGAUGCGUAGCCGACCUGAGAGGGUGAUCGGCCACACUGGAACUGAGACACGGUCCAGACUCCUACGGGAGGCAGCAGUAGGGAAUCUUCCGCAAUGGGCGAAAGCCUGACGGAGCAACGCCGCGUGAGUGAUGAAGGUCUUCGGAUCGUAAAACUCUGUUAUUAGGGAAGAACAAAUGUGUAAGUAACUAUGCACGUCUUGACGGUACCUAAUCAGAAAGCCACGGCUAACUACGUG
rnacentral:rRNA from 1 species